GAUGAAGAACGUAGUGAAAUGCGAUAAGUAAUGUGAAUUGCAGAAUUCAGCGAAUCAUCGAAUCUUUGAACGCACAUUGCGCCCCCUGGUAUUCCGGGGGGCAUGCCUGUCCGAGCGUCAUUACAACCCUCAAGCUCAGCUUGGUGUUGGGCCCCGCCGCCCCGGCGGGCCCUAAAGUCAGUGGCGGUGCCGUCCGGCUCCGAGCGUAGUAAUUCUUCUCGCUCUGGAGGUCCGGUCGUGUGCUCGCCAGCAACCCCCAAUUUUUUUCAGGUUGACCUCGGAUCAGGUAGGGAUACCCGCUGAACUUAAGCAUAUCAAUAAGCGGAGGA
rnacentral:misc_RNA from 1 species